rnacentral:lncRNA from 1 species
GAAAACUCACAAGAACUUUAUAUGAUUGACAUGCAAAGGGUGGCACCUAAUGUAACUUAAUGCAUAUACUAAGGGUAGAUUACAGCCGGUACCUAAUCUGCUCUUACAGGGUGACUUGUGAUGAGUAGAAGAAGCCUUCCUCACGUCUCUACUUUCUUUUGGACAUUGGUCCACCAU